UAAUAUUAAAUCUUAGAAAAUCUUUUUCUCUACUCCCAUGAAUAUUUAUUAAAAACUAAAUGCAUGAUUAUGAUGUCCAUGAAACUUUCUACCAAAAUUGUGAAAUUCAUGGCCCCUGUGUCAGGGGUUCGUACUCUAGGGUGGGGCCAGUAUGGCCAUAUAGUAAAAAUGUAUUAAAUCUUAAAAAAAUCUUCUUCUUUACUCCCACACAUGUGGGCAAAAAACUGAAUACAUGGUUAUGAUGUCCACUAACUCCUCUACCAAAAUUGUGAAAUUCAUGGCCCCUGGGUCAGGGGUUCAGGACUUGGGGGAGAGGGGCAAUAUAGUGUUAAUGCAUAUAAUGUUUAAAAAUCUUCUUCUCUAUUCUCACACAUCUGUAUGAAAAACUGUCUUCAUAAUUAUGUUUACCAGGAAGUCCUAUUUCAUGUCCCCUGUAGUAUGGGUUUUGACUCUAGGGCAGGGCCAAAAUGGAUGUAUAGGUGUUAAUGCAUAUAAUGUUUAAAAAUUAUCUUCUUUACCCCCACACACCUGAAAAGAAAACUGAAUUUAUGAUUUUGUAGACCAGAUCUUUAAGUUUUUCAUCAAAAUUAUAGGUUUCAUAGUUCGUUUUGAAAGAUUUCAGGCAGGGAGGUGGUCGUUAUUACAGAUUUAUAUUUUUUCUACUCCAGAAUGAAAACUAAUAAAAUGCAUAUAUGAGACUCCUCGACAAGUUUGUUAUGGGUUAUAUGCUACUCAGGUGACCGUUAAGGCCAAUUAGCCUCUUGUCGCCACCAUGCAAUGGGUAGACAUAUGUUAUCCAUUUCUUUUGAUUUUAGAAAUACAAACCUACAGCAAAAAUGUCAUUUUAUUACUGCUAUUUUUCAAAAGUUACAGUGUAUUUCAAAUCGAGACAACUCUUUGGUAAGACUAUGGUGUGGUGUUGGAGCUCGAUCUGAUUUGAGGCUCGGAAGGAAAUGACCUGGUUAGACGUUAGACCUGAUAUUUAUUUUUGUGUUUUUGAAAUAAGUUUUCUGCUUUUAGAUAGAAGGGUACAAAGCUACUGAGAUUCAUUAAUCUUUUUGUGAUUUGGAUUUGAGUGCUUGAUCUGAUAUUAAUAAAUGGUGUCAGAUCUCUGAUGCAGUUAUUGCCUAUAGAAUAUCUACAGCCGUCCAUUUUACCCCAUAGCAGAUUGUUUAUUGAUGGUUCUGAUAUUAGAUUGGUGCAUAUUGUUUCUGAUUUAUUAUAACUGAUAUUUUGUACUUGUUUUUUUAAGGGUGUGAAAUAUGGGAAAUGAUUUAAAAAUCAGCUACUAAAUUUCAAAUGAUAUAAUGUUUUAAAAAAUCUCUUUCUUGUUAGAAAAAUAAUCUGGUUUCUAAUUAUCUUAUAAAGUUUUAUAUACAUGUUAUUGUUCCAGUUUUUUUUUUAGAGUUUUCAGAGUUUCAUCUCUGAGGUGAAGUACAUGUAUUUAAUACUAUUCUAAGGACUACAUGUCCAUGUAUUGGUGCUAUACAGUUUAUUUUUGCCCAUGGUCUGUUAAUCAUUUUUAAAAUUUAAUAAAACAUGUACUUUCUCAUUUAAAUUUUUAAAUUAUAUUUUGAUAAGUAUGUUAUGUUUAGUAUUAUAUAGGGUUGUGAAGUUUCUUAUGCACCAAAUAAAGUCCUUUCCCGGUUGUGGUGUGUUUAAGAAGGUUGUAACAUUCAUUAAAUAUUGUUCAUGAUUUAUUUUUACAGCACUUUUACACACUAUGCAUUUAAGUAAUUUGAUCUGUGCAUGUUUCUUAUGCAGUUCAACAUUUUUUCAUGUGAAUUUUUUGAACUGCACAAUGGCUAGUCAACUUGGAUUUGCUUACAUGUAUUAAAUUGAAUUAAAACAUAAUAAUAAUUGU
rnacentral:sRNA from 1 species